GGCACAACAGAGGUGUAAGAUCGGUGGGUAGCAUAGAUAGGAUGGGAGUGGAGCUAGCUGGUUCCCACUGGUGGGGACUCCGAAAGGCAGAGCCCACUGAAGAGACUGAAGUGGCUUUGCAUGAAUUUUUAACUAGAAAACUGUUGCAAUCUACUAAAUGAAGGCCAUCGGCUCUCUGAUAUGCACUGCCAACUCCAACUUCUUCACACUUGAUCUCCAAGAUUUUUUGGCUGUAGAAGCUCAAGUGCACAUGCUUCAUAGAGAAACACAAAACUCUAAGCCCGACAGCCUACCCUGUAGACUGCUCUUCUCUGGAGGCCAUGGCCUGGAUGGCCCAAUAACACUUCCUAGACUAUGGAUGCUGAGUGGUCCUACAUGUGUUGUUGGGCUCUUGAUGGAUGACAGCAAGCCUCCCAGAAUGCAUCUCUCCUCACAUCAUUACUGUGUGGUUCUCAGUAUCCCUCCAGGUAUUCACAACAUCUCUGCAGGGCUGAUAUGAGUAGUCUUGGUAAAACUUUCUCAUUCCUAAUGAAAA